AGAGAUAGAGGUGCGGUCAAGAUUAGUAGCAUUUUCCGAUUUCAUAUCAAGGCUUCCGGAGCCCUUGGAAAAUGCAAAAGGUGCGACCGCCGAAGCGCAGGCGUCGGAACCCUGCAGCUGACCGCUGCUUUAAUAGAGCUUCGGUUGUCAUCAUACCUAUGAUGGAGUGCUAUCG
rnacentral:ncRNA from 1 species